rnacentral:rRNA from 1 species
UGGGGAAUAUUGGACAAUGGGCGCAAGCCUGAUCCAGCCAUGCCGCGUGAGUGAUGAAGGCCCUAGGGUUGUAAAGCUCUUUCACCGGUGAAGAUAAUGACGGUAACCGGAGAAGAAGCCCCGGCUAACUUCGUGCCAGCAGCCGCGGUAAUACGAAGGGGGCUAGCGUUGUUCGGAUUUACUGGGCGUAAAGCGCACGUAGGCGGACUUUUAAGUCAGGGGUGAAAUCCCAGAGCUCAACUCUGGAACUGCCUUUGAUACUGGAAGUCUUGAGUAUGGUAGAGGUGAGUGGAAUUCCGAGUGUAGAGGUGAAAUUCGUAGAUAUUCGGAGGAACACCAGUGGCGAAGGCGGCUCACUGGACCAUUACUGACGCUGAGGUGCGAAAGCGUGGGGAGCAAACAGG